AUUUUAACCCAGUUUCACCAGCCCACCAACCCUUCUGUUCUCGAUCUGCCCUCUUUCCGUAAGUGGCUUUUUUUUCAGCUGCCCAUGCUUCACAGGAGCCGGGAGAGCACAACAGGUUCUCACCAAAAGGUGUCCAUUGGUGGCGGAUCGAGGAGGAAGUUGGAAGGUGUGUAAUGGGUUAACGACGGAAAGGCCUCGGUCCAAUCAUCCUGUCAUUAGAACCAAAGAGCAGGAAGAACAAGAGGGACCAUAAAUCAGCGGCCAGUGCAACCGCCAGACGCGCAUCCUCAGCCCGCUUGGUGGUGCGUGUCGUCUCGGUGUCCGCUUCCACAACAUCCUCCAUCACAUAAGACUGACAAAUUCCAGACGCCAUGAAGGACCGCAUGCAAGAACUUCGACAUGGGAAGGAGACGACGACGACAACGGAAGAGGAGGACGAAGUGGCCGUGGGGAUGGAGAAAGGAUUCAUGGAUGAAUUCUUUGAGCAGGUGGAGGAGAUCCGAGGUUUCAUCGAGUCUCUGGCAGAUAAAGUUGAGGAGGUGAAGAGGAAACACAGCGCCAUCCUUGCAUCACCCAACCCUGAUGAGAAAACUAAAGCCGAACUGGAGGAUCUUAUGGCAGACAUCAAGAAACUGGCCAACAAAGUGCGCUCCAAAUUAAAGAGCAUUCUUCACACUAUUGAGCAGGAAGAAAGUCAGAACAGGUCGUCAGCGGAUUUGAGGAUACGCAAGACACAGCACUCCACCUUGUCCCGCAAGUUUGUGGAGGUGAUGUCCGAGUACAACACCACCCAGUCGGACUACAGGGAGCGCUGCAAGGGACGCAUUCAAAGACAGCUGGAGAUCACUGGAAGAAAUACGACAAAUGAGGAGCUGGAAAGUAUGUUGGAAAGCGACAACCCAGCUAUCUUCACAUCGGGAAUCAUCAUGGACAACAUCACCCAGCAGGCCAUGAACGAGAUUGAGACGCGGCACAACGAGAUCAUCAAGCUGGAAAACAGCAUCCGAGAGCUUCAUGACAUGUUCAUGGACAUGGCCAUGUUGGUGGAGAGCCAGCUGUCAAGAACGCAGCGGCACUCGCCAUCUAAUACAAAAAGGGCGAGCUGGUGAACAACAUUGAGCACAGUGUCUUGGGGGCACAGCACCAUGUGUACCAAGCAAAGAACAACAUCCCCAAAUGCAAGAAGUUUAAAAAGACCAGCAAGAGGAAAGUGAUCCUGAUAGGAGGUUGUAUCGCCGUGUGUUUGACCGUCCUCGUUGUUUGUCUGGCGGUUGGACUCAGUUAGGGAAUGACCUGAUCCUUCACAGAACAAUCAGGACAUGUGACUGUCAUAAAGAGGCCCAUUUUGCUUAAACAGCAUAGCGGUCUGCAGCCCUGGAAAGGAAGUGUCCUUAAUAAAGUCCAUUGCUUUGAUUUAGUGAUUCACAUGCAUGUCAAACGCAUGACCCUUUGCAUGCUUUACUACCAACACAAACUGUUAUUUAAGGUUUUGGGACACUUUGUGUCUCUUUGUAUAUACACACUCCACAAAAUCUGUAUCUUGUUCCCGUUGUUGUCCAUGUUAAGUUCGCAGUUUGGACAAAAAUAUUGGGACACUGCUCCGGUUCAUCCCAAAGGUACCUGAUGGGGUUUAGGAUAUCAAACAUUUCAUCAUAUCUUAUAAAUAUCAAAUACAGGAAAUGAAACUUGAAUAUACAAUGAGAAUAGUCAGUGUAGUUUGUACAGCUGUACGGGUUGACCAUCUUCUCAUUGUAAGUCUACACACAACUAUCAUUGUUCAGCUGCUGUCCGAUAAAUAGCAGGAACACCCUUGCAUGGUACCGACUUGGCUCAGCUCAGCUCUACUUGCUGGUGACAAUAUUUCAUAAGGUACUACGACAUUUUUGACCAUUGCUUGUCACACAUUGAUAAGGCAAAUCUACCGUUGUUAUUAUUUGAGGACAGAAAUAACAAAAACACAUACUGCAUGCUAGCCCAUCCGGCCAUUGUGUUAUCAUUUUAGCCUCAACUCCUUACAAAGGACUGAAUACAGGAGACUUGUUGCUGUUUACUUGUGUACGGGGGACUAUUUAAAAAAUAGUUAAUAGCCACAUAAAAAAAAAAGAAAGUUGUAUUUACAAGAAAAAAAAAAGUUGUAUAUUUACGAGAAUAAAGUCAUAAAUUUACCGGGGCAAAAAAGUCAGAAAAUUAAUGAGAAAAAAGUUGUAAAUUUACGAGAAUAAAGUUAUAAAUUUACUGGGGGAAAAUAAGUCGGAAAAUUUGUGAGGAAAAAAGUUUUAUUUACAAGAAAAAUGUUGUAAAUUUACGAGAAUAAAGUCAUAAAUUUACCGGGGUAAUAUGUCCAAAAUUUUAUGAGAAAAAAGUUGUAUUUACAAGAAAAAGGUUGUAAAUUCACGAGAAUAAACUCAAAAAUUUACUGGGGCAAAAAAAAGUCGGAAAAUUCAUGACAAAAAAGUUGUAUUUACAAGACAAAAGUCGUGUUAGAGCCUCUCAUUCAGUUGCCACGGCAACUGAGGAAAAAAAAACCCCAGCCAUUUUUGUUUGUCUUUGAAUGAUCCAAGGCAGUAAAUUUUUCUCGUAAAUACAACUUUUUUUUUUCUCAUAAAUUUUUGAGAAUAAAGUCAUAGUUUGUAACUUACCUUUAAACAAUAUUGUUGUUUUUGUAGCUAUUUAAAACGCUAUUAAAAAGCUAUUUAUGAUGUUAUGGACUUAAAUUUCAAACUGAAGUAGGGCUUCACCUUUCUUCAAAUGACACAGGAUUAAAAGAAAUUUCCGACAUAGUAAAUUGACAACUUUUUUCUUGUAAAUAAAGAAAUGAAAAAGUCAUGAAUUUGUUUUUUUAGUUUUUAAAACGCUAUUAAAAAGCUAUUCAUGACGUUAUGGACUUAAAUUUCAAACUUAAGUAGGGCUUCACCUUUCUUCAAAUGACACAGGAUUAAAAGAAAUUUCCGACAUCGCAAAUUGACAACUUUUUUUUCGUAAAUAAAGAAAUGAAAAAGUCAUGAAUUUUUUUUUUUAGUUUUUAAAACGCUAUUAAAAAGCUAUUCAUGACGUUAUGGACUUAAAUUUCAAACUGAAGUAGGGCUUCACCUUUCUUCAAAUGACACAGGAUUAAAAGAAAUUUCCGACAUAGUAAAUUGACAACUUUUUUCUCGUAAAUAAAGAAAUGAAAAAGUCAUGAAUUUGUUUUUUUAGUUUUUAAAACGCUAUUAAAAAGCUAUUCAUGGCGUUAUGGACUUAAAUUUCAAACUUAAGUAGGGCUUCACCUUUCUUCAAAUGACACCGGAUUAAAAGAAAUUUACGGCAUCGUAAAUUGACAACUUUUUUUUCGUAAAUAAAGAAAUGAAAAAGUCAUGAAUUUUUUUUUUAGUUUUUAAAACGCUAUUAAAAAGCUAUUCAUGACGUUAUGGACUUAAAUUUCAAACUGAAGUAGGGCUUCACCUUUCUUCAAAUGACACAGGAUUAAAAGAAAUUUCCGACAUCGUAAAUUGACAACUUUUUUCUCGUAAAUAAAGAAAUGAAAAAGUAAUGAUUUUUUUUUUUAGUUUUUAAAACACUAUUAAAAGGCUAUUCAUGAUGUUAUGGACUUAAAUUUCAAAUUGAAGUAGGGCUUCACCUUUCUUCAAAUGACAGGAUUAAAAGAAAUUUCCGACAUUGUAAAUUGACAUUUUUUUUCGUAAAUAAAGAAAUGAAAAAGUCAUGAAUUUUUUUUUUUAGUUUUUGUAAAUUUGCGACUUUAUUCUCGUAAAUUUACGAUUUCUUUUCAUGCAAACACAGCUUUCCUCCUAAAUUUACAUUCAAAUUUACAUUAUAUUCUGAAAAUGCCUGAAUUUUUUCAUAAAUGUACAACUUUUUUUCCUUGUAAAAUUUACAACUUUAUUCUUAAAAUCUUAAGAAUUUUUUUUUAUGUGGCUUCAAUAUUUUUUCCUUGUAAAAUUUACAACUUUAUUCUUAAAAUCUUAAGAAUUUUUUUCUUAAUGUGGCUUCAAUACGCCGUCGUUCUAGUGCGUUCGAUGCUGUAAUAAAGCAACUGGCCGGAAAAACAGGUCACCACUGUACAAUGUAAACAUCACAUAAGAGCAAUGUCCUGAUACUUUUGUCCCUGCAGUUUACUGCAUGUGUGUUUAUGAAAUGAAAUAUUUCUAACAUGUUUUCUUCUGACACCCCCCCCCAUCUGCUGCCCUGGAUGGACUCUUCUUUUGUCUUUAUGUACACUCAUUAGAAGAAAAUCAUGAUUAUUAUAUGCUGUGUCAUUCUGGGCAUCAUCAUAGCGUCUGCCGUCGGCGGCACGCUGGCCUGAAAUGUUAGACGCACACUUUAUGAUUUUUUUUUUUUUUUGCCAUUUUCCACAAAUGCAACGGUAUUACACUUAUGUUGGGGCACGAGGGGCGUGUCACUUCCUGUAACGAUCCAUCGAUGAGUUGUUUUGGCAUGAGUUUCUAUUUUGUAAAACGUGCGGUGCUGCUGAGUAUUGUCAAUGAUAUGAUGUUCCCCAAAGUGAAUCCAUGUAUCAAACAUUUUUAAUGUAAUCUUUACACAUUCCAAGUAAGCCAGAACACCAGCAUAAAGUUUUGGCAUUCAAUAUACAUUUUUUGGGGGGGAAAAGAUACUUCCAAAAAUAACUUGUAGGCCGAAACAAGGGGAAACUUUGAAGACCGACAAUGGAAAAAGAUGCUAAAAUAUUCAAAUUAAAUGUAUAAUGCAAUGCCCGACUUUAAUGCUAGCGUUUUGGCUCAGUAGGCUACUAAUCCGCAACGAUUUUUUAAAGCCACGUUUACUGCCAUAACUUUCCGUCCAAUGUCCUCUACCUCCCUUGAUAAUAAUACGAAUUAAUAAUACAAAUACAUUUGAAAAAGUCCUGCAUGGUUUAAGUUCAUGUUAAAUUGUAUUGCAAAAAGAACUGGUUUGUACUGUAUUUGUACUCUUGUCACCUCGGACUCGGCGGUGUUGCGUGAGUGCAUGCGUACACAUGGAUAAAGAGGGUGUUUUUUUUUUUUUUUUUUUUUGCCGCUACAUGUUGGAACGUGCCGUGGAAUGAAAGGACCUCUACCCAAAAAGCUCUCUUAACACUGCCAGGUCUGUAUGUUCAAAAAAAAAAAAAGAUGUCUGCUCUGCUUGGAGUUUUUAAUAUCCCUCUCUAGCUUUAAAUGUCUUGUUUUGUUGACAGUCAUUGAUGAUGUUAGCAUGAAGUCAAAGUAGCCCUGUAAACACACACAUACACACACACACACACAUACACACA